AAAAAAUUUUAUACCGCGUCCUUCGUUUCAAUCAAUUUCCCAAACAUUAACCUCAAACCUCCACAGACUCAAAGUUCGGAGUGAAGCUGCUGCUGCUUCUUCUUCUCCAACGCUUGAGAGUAGAGACCAGAGAGGAAGUCACCGUCACGGAGAGAGGCAGAAAGCAGAUCAGUAGAGCUUCUUCUUCUCCGACGAUUGAGAAAACCCGCCGUCCUCCGCCAGAGAGCAGAGCUUCUUCUUCUUCUCCUCCUCCGCCGAGCCCGCUGCCGCGCCAUCCUGUUCAUGGAAGAAUCAUCUCUUGCAGUCUGAGAUUAAUCAAUAAUUUUGUAGAAGAAGAGAAGAUACCCGAGCUAUUGAAGACAUUUCCAAAUGCAUCGAAGUUUCUCAAGACACUUGUGGCUGGUUUUGAAGUAUGCAAUUCUCAAUUUGAAAGUUAUUCAAGCAGCAAUCUCUUUGGCCAAACAGGAAGGUCUUCUUGUUUCUUUGGAUUUGGCCAGUUUUGAGAUGGUGAGGAAAUUUAAGCCACCACUUAUGAAGUUAUUGGAGUCUGGCAAUAUAGACCUCUGUUUUACCAAUCAGGAUGAAGCAACGAAACUUCAAUUGUAAUUUUUUCUGCUGGCUUCUUUCCCAAUCUCGUUCUCUUUUGCUUUGGUUGGAAAAUGUGUAGUUGACUCUGCUGUGAACUGUUUGCUGUUGUGCAUUGAUCACUUGGAGAACAUGACUAACUAUACAAUCAUGGUAGUUUGGUUCACACUGCAGGAAUUUGUUCUCAAGCCAUUGCCUCCCAAUAUAGUGCAUAUCAGGAUCUGAUUCAUGAAGCUUUCUAAAGAAAGCUAGUGUUCUCAUUGCUCUUGCAAUGGCUGCUGGCACUGGAGGGGUUGUGGCUGGAGAGCUUGAACUAAAAUGAUGGAAGAAAAUGAGUAGCUGAGAAAUACAGCUUAAUUAGCAGGGAAAAUACAGCACACAUGGAAAACUUAUAAAAGGAAGAAAAAAAGAAAGAAAAAGAGUGCAAUUCCUAACUCACAUGUUUCCCAAAAGAUGAGAAGCUAUUCCUUCAUCAGCAUCUAUUUUGAGUAUUUUCAGAUUAAUGUUAUCUGUUUCUUUUGUUAUGCCAAUGUCAUUUUUUUAAAAAAUCUGUUAUCUUUAUCUACAAAUGACUUUGCUGGUAAAGAUUAAAAAAACACAAUCACUCAUGUUAAGGACCUCACCUCCCUCUCAUUUCCAUGUCAUUGUUUACCCUUGUAAACUGAAAACUAAACAAAUCUUAAGGAUACAGUGCAAUCCUAAUACAAGAGUUCAAAGACAAUGAAAAGAAAAAUAUUCACAAAGAUGAAUUACCUGGAGAAGAAGGUAGCUCAGGCCAUCAAUAGCAUUUUUAAUGACUUUGAAGGCCUGGCCAUAAUAAAUAUGGAAGUUCACAGCAUCCUUCACCUUUGAGAAGCUGCUCACUUUUGUUGGGGUGGUCCCUCCACGAACACCUCCACAACAGCUCAAGACCCAAACCAAUGCCAAGAGAGAGAACAAGGCUUGCAGCCAAGAACUACAAGGAGUUGAGUCCAUGAAGUUAUGUUAAGAGAAAAGUUGUGAAGGGGUGUGGGGUUGAAUAAUUAAGGUAUUGUGUAGUGAUUUUUUAUGCACAUAAUAGAAUAGAUUCUCCUAAUAUAGAUAUAGAUCUUCUUUCUCAUUUCAUACUCUCACGUGCAGAAAUGAUAAACCUAACUACAUCUUUCUAUAUGGUCCUGAAAUUCUAUAUCCUAUGAUGUCCUUUGAGACUGUAUUUGGUAAGUAUUUGCUUAGUUCUGUGCUUUGGUUAUGUUUAUAUAUGUAUGUAUACUAUAGAAAAUAGAUGCCUUCUGCAAGAUUUUUGUUCUUUUCAUUAUCUAUGUAUAUGGAUGUGAAUUGCAUAAGAAAGGUAACAACAUGAUUCCCAUAAAUUACUUACGUAUGCUUCUUGAACUUUCAUUAUAUGUGUAACUAAAAAUAAUGUGACUUCAAAGUCUUCAUUUAGUGCUAAAUAAUAAUAAUUUGAUGAAAAGUUGUUCCUGCCCUCAAAUAUUACGUUGGUGUUAACUGUUAAGUAAGGUUUACAUAGUUUCUGGUUACAUCCCCACACACAUUAGCAUAAUAUCAAAAAUAGAAAAUUAGUUAGUAUUCAUUAAAUAUACCUAUAUUUGGCAUUUGAACCCACCUAAAGUCUAUAUUUU